rnacentral:rRNA from 1 species
GAUGAACGCUGGCGGCGUGCCUAAUACAUGCAAGUCGAGCGAACAGACGAGGAGCUUGCUCCUCUGACGUUAGCGGCGGACGGGUGAGUAACACGUGGAUAACCUACCUAUAAGACUAGGAUAACUUCGGGAAACCGGAGCUAAUACCGGAUAAUAUAUUGAACCGCAUGGUUCAAUAGUGAAAGACGGUUUUGCUGUCACUUAUAGAUGGAUCCGCGCCGCAUUAGCUAGUUGGUAAGGUAACGGCUUACCAAGGCAACGAUGCGUAGCCGACCUGAGAGGGUGAUCGGCCACACUGGAACUGAGACACGGUCCAGACUCCUACGGGAGGCAGCAGUAGGGAAUCUUCCGCAAUGGGCGAAAGCCUGACGGAGCAACGCCGCGUGAGUGAUGAAGUUCUUCGGAUCGUAAAACUCUGUUAUUAGGGAAGAACAAAUGUGUAAGUAACUAUGCACGUCUUGACGGUACCUAAUCAGAAAGCCACGGCUAACUACGUG